CCGGGACAGGGUGGCGCGAAGUCCGAGGCCGAGACCCAGGACGACCCUGGACCGGGCUCCCGGCUUCUCUGGCUUAGUUUCCCCAACUCUGAGAAUCCGUCCUGACGAGCCGGCAACCUGGAAUCUGACAGACCGGAUUUGGAGUUUCGGACAAGCAAUAGGUACCCCCACUCCGAGCCUGAGUUUACCCCCGAAGAAACAGGGAUCACUGUAGUAUAUACUUAGCGCAUAGUGCGGUUCUGGUCUCACGCUAUUGAGGUAAAUCCUUAAAUGGAUGGUAGUUUUGCAUUAUUUAUAAAAAUCUAAAACGCGCACACGUACGCCCAGCAAGUCACUUUCUAGGACUCUGUCUUGUAGAGAUCCUGACUUAAAUGUGCAAAAAAAAAAAAAAAAGGUAUAACAGCUGUUUUCUGCAGCCUGUUUGUAAUUGUGAAACGUUAGAAACAGCCUAAAUGUCCAGGAAAAGGUUCCUUCUGGUUCAUGAUUUCAUUUAAAUUUCUGUCUUUAAUAGUAGUAAUAAUAAAAGCUGGAACCAAGAACAGAGCCAUUAAUAAGUAACCAUGAGUACUUGAGUGAUUAUGGUGUGCCAGACUAUAAGUGUUUCCCUUGCAUUAUUUAAUUUAACCUUCUCAAAACCCACUGAGCUAAGUACAGUUAUUGUACCCGUGAAACUUUUGAGGUUCAUAGCUAUUUGAGUGAGUUAGCUAAGAUGAUAUCACUGGGGAGUGGAAGAGCUGGAUUUGAACCCAGAUCUAUUUGAUGUGUCUAGCUGACUGCUACCCUGCACUGCGUUAUUUGGGCACAUAGCAAAUGCUGAUGGUAGCUGCCUUUUUUAUUAUAAUGGUGAGCUUGAACUAGGCAUUCUCUGAGUUCUGGGGACCUUCCAUCCGCUUUCUGGCUUUCCUUUUCAGGACUCCCAGGAGCCAUGUUGCCAGAAGUCCUGCUAGUGUCUGCUCCAGGGAAAGUCAUCCUUCAUGGAGAGCACGCCGUGGUCCAUGGCAAGGUAGCACUGGCUGUGGCCUUGAACUUGAGAACAUUCCUCCGGCUUCAGCCCCACAGCAAUGGGAAAGUGGACCUCAACUUACCCAACAUUGGCAUCCAGCGGGCCUGGGAUGUGGCCAAGCUUCAGAUGCUGGACACCAGCUUUCUGAAGCAAGGUGACGUCACAGCACUCACCCCGGAGCAAAUGGAGAAGCUGAAGGAGGUGGCGGGCUUCCCCGAGGACUGUGCCGACCAUGAGCACCUGGCUGUGCUGUCCUUCCUUUACUUGUACCUGUCCAUCUGCCAGAGUCAGAGGGCCCUGCCCAGCCUGGACGUUGCCGUGUGGUCGGAGCUGCCCACCGGGGCCGGCCUUGGCUCCAGUGCCGCCUACUCCGUGUGUUUGGCGGCUGCCCUCCUGACUGCGUGCAAGGAGAUCCCAAACCCACUGAAGGAUGGCGAGGCUGCCAACAGGUGGACUGAGGAGAGCUUGGAACUAAUUAACAAGUGGGCCUUCCAGGGGGAGAGGGUGAUUCAUGGGAACCCCUCCGGAGUGGACAACGCUGUCAGCACCUGGGGAGGAGCGCUCCGAUACCAGCAAGGGAAGAUUUCAUCCUUAAAGAGGCCACCAGCUCUGAAGAUCCUGCUGACCAACACCAAAGUCCCUCGCAGCACCAAGGCCCUGGUGGCCGGCGUCAGGAGCAGGCUGCUGAAGUUCCCAGAGAUCAUGGCCCCCCUCCUGACCUCCAUAGAUGCCAUUUCCCUGGAGUGCGAGCGGUUGCUGGGGGAGAUGACGGCGGCCCCGGCCCCAGAGCACUACCUUGUGCUGGAGGAGCUCAUCGAUAUGAACCAGCACCAUCUGAAUGCCCUUGGUGUGGGCCAUGCCUCGCUGGACCGGCUGUGCCAGGUGACCAUGGCCCACGGACUGCACAGCAAGCUCACUGGCGCGGGCGGCGGGGGCUGUGGCAUCACGCUUCUCAGGCCAGGAGACCUUGACUGUGGGGACCUAGUUCAGGCGGCGAUGACGAUGGCGAGAGAACAUUCUUGAGCGUGUGUGGUGUACCAGGCGCUGUGCCAGGCUCUCCACCUGCAGUAGCCCAUGCCAGCCUCACCGUGACCCUUGAGGGAUCUGGAGCGGCCGGAGGUGGAGGCCAUGAAGCAGGCGCUGACCAGCUGUGGGUUUGACUGCUGGGAAACCAGCAUCGGUGCCCCUGGUGUCUCCGUCCACACGGCCGCC